rnacentral:rRNA from 1 species
ACUCCUACGGGAGGCAGCAGUGGGAAUAUUGCACAAUGGGCGCAAGUCUGAUGCAGCAACGCCGCGUGCGGGAAGAAGGCCCUAGGGUUGUAAACCGCUUUCAGCAGGGAAGAAAUGACGGUACCUGCAGAAGAAGGUGCGGCCAACUACGUGCCAGCAGCCGCGGUGACACGUAGGCACCAAGCGUUGUCCGGAUUUAUUGGGCGUAAAGAGCUCGUAGGCGGUUUUGUAAGUCGGGUGUGAAAACUCUGGGCUCAACCCAGAGAGGCCACCCGAUACUGCAAUGACUUGAGUACGGUAGGGGAGCGGGGGAAUUCCUGGUGUAGCGGUGAAAUGCGCAGAUAUCAGGAGGAACACCAGUGGCGAAGGCGCCGCUCUGGGCCGUAACUGACGCUGAGGAGCGAAAGCAUGGGUAGCAAACAGGAUUAGAUACCCUGGUAGCGACUGA